rnacentral:misc_RNA from 1 species
UAACAACUGAUUCAACAUAG